AACGGCGAGUGAAGCGGUAACAGCUCAAAUUUGAAAUCUGGCCUCACGGUCCGAGUUGUAAUUUGUAGAGGAUGCUUCGAGCAUGGUCUGGCCUAAGUUCCUUGGAACAGGACGUCAUAGAGGGUGAGAAUCCCGUAUGCGGCCAGGUGCCUACGCUCAUGUGAAGCUCCUUCGACGAGUCGAGUUGUUUGGGAAUGCAGCUCAAAAUGGGUGGUAAAUUUCAUCUAAAGCUAAAUAUUGGCCAGAGACCGAUAGCGCACAAGUAGAGUGAUCGAAAGAUGAAAAGCACUUUGGAAAGAGAGUUAAACAGUACGUGAAAUUGUUGAAAGGGAAGCGCUUGCAACCAGACUUGCGCGCGGCCGAUCAUCCGGUGUUCUCACCGGUGCACUCGGCCGUGCUCAGGCCAGCAUCGGUUUUGGCGGCUGGAUAAAGGCCCUAGGAAUGUAGCUCCUCUCGGGGAGUGUUAUAGCCUAGGGUGCAAUGCAGCCUGCUGGGACCGAGGACCGCGCUUCGGCUAGGAUGCUGGCGUAAUGGUUGUAAGCGGCCCGUCUUGAAACACGGACCAAGGAGUCUAACAUCUAUGCGAGUGUUUGGGUGUCAAACCCAUACGCGUAAUGAAAGUGAACGGAGGUGAGAACCCUUAAGGGUGCAUCAUCGACCGGUCCUGAAGUUUACGGAAGGAUCUGAGUAAGAGCAUAGCUGUUGGGACCCGAAAGAUGGUGAACUAUGCCUGAAUAGGGUGAAGCCAGAGGAAACUCUGGUGGAGGCUCGCAGCGGUUCUGACGUGCAAAUCGAUCGUCAAAUUUGGGUAUAGGGGCGAAAGACUAAUCGAACCAUUGACCUGUAGGAACACUACUAGGUGGUUAAGAGGCGGCUAAAAGUGCCGUCUAGUCCCGACGCCGGGGCGACACUGUCAAAUUGCGGGAACAUCCUUAGAGCCUAGACUACCGCAGCCUUCCUGAAAGGGGGGUGCGCACCAGGGUAAUGACCUCGGGUAUGGUAAUAACGUCUAGGAUUGGACAAUCCGCAGCCAAGCCCUACGGACCUCGGUCUAUGGGUGCAGUUCAUCGACUAGAUGGCAGUGGGUGGCAGCAAUGCCGCUUAAGAUAUAGUCAGACCCCCGGGAGACCGGGCGGCAGAACGAAGACCGUGGGGGGCGUCCUCUCUGAGAGCCCCGCGGUCCCGAGUCUGCUGGUGGCGUCGCA
rnacentral:rRNA from 1 species